UACGUAGGGGGGCAAGCGUUGUCCGGAAUCAUUGGGCGUAAAGAGCUCGUAGGCGGUUUGUCGCGUCUGCUGUGAAAACCCGAGGCUCAACCUCGGGCCUGCAGUGGGUACGGGCAGACUAGAGUGGCGGUAGGGGAGAUUGGAAUUCCUGGUGUAGCGGUGGAAUGCGCAGAUAUCAGGAGGAACACCGAUGGCGAAGGCAGAUCUCUGGGCCGUAACUGACGCUGAGGAGCGAAAGCGUGGGGAGCGAACAGG
rnacentral:rRNA from 1 species